CACAUGAAAAUCAUAAUUCUCAUGUCUCUGAGUAUUAUUGAUGAUGUGGCAUAUGCCUUUUUAUGUCUAUUGUUCAGGUAUAUUUACAUUUGUGUGAAAUGUCUAUUCAUGUUUUGCCCAGUUUUCUGGGUUUUUUUAAAGUCUUUUUAUGUUCCUUUUUUCCCUUUGUUUAAGGUGAAUUUUGAUAAAAGUUCUUAAUAUUAAUGAAGUAAAAUUUUAUUAUUUUUAUUUUGUAGGUGGCACAUAGGUGCCUUGUUUUAAAAAAUCAUUCCCUAGCAACAAAUUGAGAAAUAUACUGCUUUCUUCUAAAAGUUUAAAAUAUAUGGCUUUGAAAUAUGAGCUAACUAUCCUUUUAGAGUUGAUUUUAGUGAUGAUAUGAGAUAGAGAUUUAUUUUCUUUUUCUUUUCUUUAUGGGUAAUUAUUAAUUAAAACUCAUUUUUUAAUAAUUCCACCCUUAUACGUUACCUUACUUCAUCCUCUCUGUUGUCUCAUAAAAUUCCUGAUAGGCAUAAUAUGCUUCUGUUUCAGUUGUUGGGUUUUCUAGCCCUGGGCCAAUAACACAUGCUUUUAGGAGCUAUCACUUUGUAAUAAGUCUCUAUUAAAAUCAAUUUAUCAAGCCCUGUGAAUAACCUUAUUAAAACUUGGACUAACAUUUUGUCAGUUUAAUAGAUCAACCUUGGGAAAGUGGCAUCUUUAAACUAUUCUCUCUUCUGUAAAUGUAGGCUUCCUCUCCAUGUAAUUAAUGUCCUCAGUCAAGAAUUUCAGUUUGUCCUUAAGCAGUAAAGAAUUCUGAACAUUCUCAAUUAGUAUAGAUCACAUCCACCUGGAGAACACUGGGACCCUGUGGUCAAAUUGCCAACAGCCAAAAGAUAAGCUCAAAACAUCAGGAAACUUUAAAGUUGUCCUUAAAGGGUAAAAGCAAACUUCAUUGUUGGAAUCUUACAAGCACUGCUAAGUUUUUUUCAAGGCAAGUCUGAUUCGGGUACAUAAAUAUGGAUUUUAAAAUAGCUCUCAUCUAUCCACAAUAAACAGGCAAGUUGCAGCCUGGAUAACUAAUAUAUACAGAUGUGUUCAUGGUCUCUUUAACCCAUGGAGCACACAUAAAGUUAUUUUUGAUAUAGAAAUGUAGGAAUUCCCUAGUGACCUAUCAGGUUAAGGAUCCAGUAUUGUCCCUGCUUUAGCUUUGGUUACUGCUGUGGCGUGGGUUCAAUUCCUGGCCUGGGAACUUCCAUAUGCCACAGGCAUGACCAAAAAAAAGGCAGAAAGAAAUACAAUCCUGGAGUCACCAAAACAGCCAUAAAGGCAACAUUUUUGCUGUUGCAGCUUUGUGCCACUUAACAUUGUCUGUAGACAGUUACUGAAGAUCAUUACUUCCUGUGACCUCCUGCACCAGAAUAUUUAACAGAGCUAACAGGUAGCAAAACUGACCAAAUUGAAAUUAUCCUUCUCUUCCUGUCCUAACCUUCAUGAUUUGAAACAAUUAAACAGUCUAAAUAUAGGCAGAAAAAAAAUGAUUAGAUUUGGAUUGUAAAGCCACUAGAAAACCAUUGGGUUUAAAGUUAGUAAAGUUUCCUUAACUGAACCACCCCAGAAAAUCAAUCAAAAAUUUAAGCAAUGGAUUCCAUAAUUUCCCCAAAUGUGUAGGAAUGUUUUGUAAACAGUAGUAAAACCAUAUCCUCUCAUCAUCCAGAGAGAAUAUGACUUCAACCACUUAAUCAGUACCUCUGUAUAUGAGGUACAAGUUACUUCCAUAAAAUAUAUACAUUUCUAAAUUUUCACCCUGUAAAUUCAAACCUUCCAGGCCCGACUAAAUGCAAUAUGACAUUUCCCUAGUCAACAACAACAAAUGUGAUUUAUUUUCUCCUCUGUUUCCAUGCCACCUUAUACCUAUUAUGACACCAAUAACACUUUACUUGUCCCCACAAUAAUUUUUGGAUUGUCUCAUUUCAUACAUCUACUGUUAAGGACAGAGAAACUAUUGGUAAUAUUAUUUCUAAUGGUAAUUUCUAGACUCAACCAAUGAACUGUAGGAUAUGUCUCAUAGCAUAACAAUAAAUAUUUUUCAGCCUGUUAAAUACUAGUACACCAUGAGAGAGCAGUCCAUUAACUUUCUCAAGUGACCAAAUGUGAUGAUUUGCAAUCUACAUUUAAUGUUUGGGUCAUUAGAAUGUGAAUUUAUAACUUCAUGGGAAAGGACAAACUAGGAGUAUCACUGACUGCUGAGGGGCAAUUGGAACUGGACACUGCUAUAACGAGCUCAUCCUCACAGGGAUUUCAUGCUGCCAGCUUAGAAGAGCAACAGGCAGCUAACCAAUUCUAGUUCUCAUGGCAUAAAAGGCAAUGCUUUAACUAAAUCUUUAAAUGUUUUUAUAUGAUGAAAUUAUAUCAAGAGCCUGUGUGUUUUGUCCAAAUGUGAAAAAAAAAUCUCUGAAAUAACAACGAAGAACUAAUAUAUUUUUUGUUAUAUAUAACAAAAGAUUAGACUUAGUUGACUUAGGACAUAAACAGUUCCUUUAAAAAUUAAUUUUCUUAAUAAAAAUAAACAUUUAGAAACAAUAUCCAGAAAUGACAUAUUGUUGGUUUAGGGAGAGCAGGUACCCAAGAUAUUAAGCCCGUUUUUGUAAAUCUGAUGAAUAAAUGCAUAUAUGAGUCCUAACAGAUUCCCUCUUCUACUACUGGUCCUUCUUAAAAUCCAUAGACCACAAUUAUCAUUGAUCAAAUUUCAUAUACACAUACAGAUGGAAACUAUUUUUUUAGCAAAAAUAUCUCCUCAGUGAAAGGCACUGUAGUACCAGGUUUUAUGAAUAGAAGAUUAAGAAAAACUCCCACUCAUGAAUCUUACAUUCAGGGUAACAAGAAAAAGGAACAUUCCAUUAAUACAUGCUAAAACCCAGGACUAAAUCAUCAGCAUUCAAUUUUUUAGUGCAACAAUUCCAUGAACAUAUUUUUUUCUUCUUUUCUCCAGGCCAUUAGAUGUGUCCAAAUGUAUCUAAUUAUAAACAGUUGGUAUCUUUGCUUCAUAUAUAAUGAUGGCUUCAUGAAGUUAAAGGAAAUCAAGAUCAGCAAUUUAAGCAGUUAUUUGAAUAAAUGAACAGUUAUGGGAGCCACUUAGUCCUUCACUUAAAAAUAUACUAGUGGCAAAUUUGUUUUAUUUUCCCAUCAUUACUUUUUCAUUACCCUUAGAUCAGAACACCAAAUAUAAUCCACAAAUUAAUAGCGUAAUCUUUCAGAUAAAUGAGGUAAACACAACUUCUUUACUGGCAGUUCGAAUUUGUAGGCAACUAUUAUCAACCUUCCCACAGAACUGUGCUUUUUAAAAUUGUGUUAAAAUUGGUAAAAGGAGGAGUUCUCUCAUGGUGCAGCAGGUUAAGGAUCCAGCAUUAUCACUGCAGUGGCUUGGGUCACUGCCGUGGUGCAGGUUCAAUCCCUGACCCAGGAACUUCCACAUACUGUGGGUGCG
rnacentral:lncRNA from 1 species